AUUGAACGCUGGCGGCAGGCUUAACACAUGCAAGUCGAGCGAGCGGCGGACGGGUGAGUAAUGUCUGGGAACCUGCCUGAUGGAGGGGGUUAACUACUGGAAACGGUAGCUAAUACCGCAUACCAUCAGAUGUGCCCAGAUGGGAUGAGUUAGUAGGUGGGGUAAUGGCUCACCUAGGCGACGAUCCCUAGCUGGUCUGAGAGGAUGAACAGCCACACUGGAACGGAGACACGGUCCAGACUCCUACGGGAGGCAGCAGUGGGGAAUAUUGCACAAUGGGCGCAAGCCUGAUGCAGCCAUGCCGCGUGUGUGAAGAAGGCCUGCGGGUUGUAAAGCACUUUCAGCGAGGAGGCGUUACUCGCAGAAGAAGCACCGGCUAACUCCGUGCCAGCAGCCGCGGUAAUUC
rnacentral:rRNA from 1 species